GUGACUGUAGCUCAGUUGGCAGAGCGAUGGACUGUGGCUCCAUAGGUCGCGGGUUCAAGCCCCGUCAGUCACC
rnacentral:tRNA from 1 species